rnacentral:rRNA from 1 species
UACGUAGGGACCGAGCGUUGUCCGGAAUCAUUGGGCGUAAAGAGCGUGUAGGCGGCUAUUUAAGUCCUGCGUGAAAUCCUGCGGCUCAACCGCAGACGGUCGUGGGAAACUGGAUGGCUAGAGUGCGGGAGAGGAGAGUGGAAUUCCCGGUGUAGCGGUGAAAUGCGUAGAUAUCGGAAGGAACAUCAGUGGCGAAAGCGACUUCCUGGACCAAUACUGACGCUCAUGUGCGAAAGCGUGGGGAGCAAACAGG